GACGAACGCUGGCGGCGUGCUUAACACAUGCAAGUCGAACGGAAAGGCCCUGCUUUUGUGGGGUGCUCGAGUGGCGAACGGGUGAGUAACACGUGAGUAACCUGCCCUUGACUUUGGGAUAACUUCAGGAAACUGGGGCUAAUACCGGAUAGGAGCUCCUGCUGCAUGGUGGGGGUUGGAAAGUUUCGGCGGUUGGGGAUGGACUCGCGGCUUAUCAGCUUGUUGGUGGGGUAGUGGCUUACCAAGGCUUUGACGGGUAGCCGGCCUGAGAGGGUGACCGGCCACAUUGGGACUGGGAUACGGCCCAGACUCCUACGGGAGGCAGCAGUGGGAAAUAUUGCACAAUGGGCGGAAGCCUGAUGCAGCAACGCCGCGUGCGAGAUGACGGCCUUCGGGUUGUAAACCGCUUUCGCCUGUGACGAAGCGUGAGGGACGGUAAUGGGUAAAGAAGCACCGGCUAACUACGU
rnacentral:rRNA from 1 species